CAAGUUGUGGUAUUUUGUGGCUUCUUCAACCCUCCACACGUGUCCUAACUAAAUAGUAACAUACCACUAAUUACACCACUAACGAGGCAGUAACACACCGCUAGAAGAAGAAAAUUGUACAUAUGUUUCAUCGGAUUCACUUGGUGGUACUUCCCCAUGCUUAAUUUGGCUUCUUUUGCAAUUAUUUUGGAAAGAAGAGAGGCUUAAUAUUGAAGCAAUCACACCCUCAAUUAAAGAAUGGACCUACAAGGUUUUGGUGGUUGAUAAAUAUCACCCUCGCGAGAACAAAAAUUAGACUAUUCAUUUCCAGACAAUAGCUGUACAGGAUGAAAAUGUCAGCUUACUAUUCUUAUCUCUCCACAGUGAUUGCAUCAAGAAUGUGUAGACAUAUUAAAGACCUCUUCUAUUUUAAUCGAUUGCAGGAAGAACAUGUUUUAAUAGUUUUGUACAGUGAUGACAUUAGCAGGUGUCAUAAAUUGUUCACCCCUUUCAAGACGUAUUUGGUUUUGGGUGCAAGGGUUAGGGAACUACGAUUUUACUUAGUAUGAUUCAAAAACUUUGAAUGGGUUGUCGAUAAGUACACAAUUGUUGAAUCUAUUACAAAUAGGAAAGUCGGUGAGGCUCCAUUACCCCUUCCAACAAAGUUGAGCAUACUUUCUUUUUUGCAUCUCGAAUAAUAACUUCAAGGAGUUGAAUUUUGUGAGUCUUCUUAUCAUAUCUUCACUUCUUUUCUUUCUUGGUUAAAUAGAUCUUUCAAACCGAACUGAACAACGACAUUUUACUGUUCGUACCAACAGAUUUGCUAGAAGUGGUUUGAAUGAGAGGACCCAAUGCAUAUUUUAAAUUGAAAAUCAAAGGGAUAAUUUGAGAAGAACCUUGGGACUCCAUAGGUGAAAGGGUCCAUAGAUGAAUUUCCACAUACCUUGCUGAAUUUUGACCUUGAGUUGGGAAAAAAGAGACUUGAUCUUGAAGAAACCCUAGCAAAUUUCUUGAUGAUGAAGAAGACCUUUGAGAGUAGCCUUGCGAGAGAAGAUUUGUGAUUUUUUGAGAGUUAAUAAGAGAAUGAGAGGUUUAGGAAUACUUAGGGUAAUCAAUAGUUGAGAACCUAGUACCAAAAACAUCCACAUACAUUAAUAAAGUAUAUGAAAAAGACCAAACUGCCCCUCAUUAAACCUGGUCGGAAGACCCUAUGAAUCACCCUUUAUGAGUCAUCGAAAAGUUUAUGGGUCGUAGACCCAAUUCGUCCUAGCAACCCUUGAAAGACCCUAAAAACUGAGCCUCUGAUCUUCUUCUACGACUCAUCUUUACUAGUCGUAAACACUUUUAUGACUCAUCCUGUUGAGUCGUAGAAAGAGUUCUAAAAUUUGUUGUUUCUCAAACUCAGACACUGAUCCUAUGAUUCCCUUCUACAAGUCAUCAAAACUUCCACGAGUCAUAGAUUAAUUUGUUAACUCACUUCCACACUUAGUCAAAUUUCCAACUCUCAGCAUCAACCCUACAAGUCUCUCCUACGACUCAUAGGUUGAGUCGUAGACUAUGAAUCAGUCUAUUUUCCCAAGUUUUUCCUUCAUUUCAACUUUUUAACUUUCGGGGUCUUACAUCAAGACUAAGAUAAGUGUAUUAACCUACUCCUGAAUCUAAACAUAGCAAAAAUAAUCAAACAGCAACCUAACCAAUGCUUCAUAAGUUAGGUAGGUACAAAUAUCAAAAAAGACCACCAAUCCAAGACCCUUUAAGCCUAGAAGGUGAAAACUCAAUCUAUAUACCCCUAUCAGUAGUCCCCUAUCCCCGUAGACAGUCAUAUAGCCCUAUUAGGCAACAAUAUAGCUCUGUAGACAGUGCAUAGAGCUCUUAGGCAUCAAUAUUUCCUCGUAGUCAACUCAUAGCCCUCUUAGGCAAGGGGACUAGAAUUUAAUUAGUUGAAAUGUACCACUCAUAACUCUCCUUAAGAGGCCUAUGGACCACUUUACCGAUAGUUGGCCAUUUAAGGCCUGGUCGCUUAAGUGGUCUUUUGACCGUAGGGGUCAUUGCUAGUGAUUAUAUCUCUAUAAUCCUCUUCCAUUUCUCAAAAGAAGACAUUGUUAA